GAAUAUUGGACAAUGGUGGCAACACUGAUCCAGCCAUGCCGCGUGCAGGAUGACGGCCCUAUGGGUUGUAAACUGCUUUUGUACGGGAAAAAACCCCUCUACGUGUAGGGGGCUGAUGGUACCGUAAGAAUAAGGAUCGGCUAACUCCGUGCCAGCAGCCGCGGUAAUACGGAGGAUCCAAGCGUUAUCCGGAUUUAUUGGGUUUAAAGGGUGCGUAGGCGGAAUUGUAAGUCAGUGGUGAAAGCCUGCAGCUUAACUGCAGAAUUGCCAUUGAUACUGCAAAUCUUGAGUACAUUUGAAGUGGGCGGAAUGUGUCAUGUAGCGGUGAAAUGCAUAGAUAUGACACAGAACACCGAUUGCGAAGGCAGCUCACUAAACUGUAACUGACGCUGAGGCACGAAAGCGUGGGGAUCGAACAG
rnacentral:rRNA from 1 species